UACGUAGGGUGCGAGCGUUGUCCGGAAUUAUUGGGCGUAAAGAGCUUGUAGGCGGUUUGUCGCGUCGGGAGUGAAAUCCACUGGCUUAACUGGUGGCUUGCUUUCGAUACGGGCAGACUGGAGGUAUGCAGGGGAGAACGGAAUUCCUGGUGUAGCGGUGAAAUGCGCAGAUAUCAGGAGGAACACCGGUGGCGAAGGCGGUUCUCUGGGCAUGUCCUGACGCUGAGGAGCGAAAGUGUGGGGAGCGAACAGG
rnacentral:rRNA from 1 species